rnacentral:rRNA from 1 species
GAUCCUGGCUCAGGACGAACGCUGGCGGCGCGCCUAACACAUGCAAGUCGAACGGAGUCAAGAGGAGCUUGCCUUUCUUGACUUAGUGGCGAACGGGUGAGUAACGCGUGAGUAACCUGCCCUGGAGUGGGGGACAACAGUUGGAAACGACUGCUAAUACCGCAUAAGCCCACGGCCCGGCAUCGGGCUGAGGGAAAAGGAUUUAUUCGCUUCAGGAUGGACUCGCGUCCAAUUAGCUAGUUGGUGAGG